AACGCGUAAGUUAUCUACCUCGGCAUCUGGAAUAACUCACCGAAAGGUGUGCUAAUACCGGAUACGUUGAGUAAUCAAGAAAGGUGGCCUCUGAAUAUGCUACCGUGCUGAGAUGAGCUUGCGUACCAUUAGCUAGUUGGUGGGGUAAUGGCCUACCAAGGCGACGAUGGUUAGCGGGUCUGAGAGGAUGAUCCGCCACACUGGAACUGGAACACGGACCAGACUCCUACGGGAGGCAGCAGUGAGGAAUAUUGCGCAAUGGGGGCAACCCUGACGCAGCGACGCCGCGUGGAUGAUGAAGGCCUUCGGGUCGUAAAAUCCUGUCAGGUGGAAAGAAAUGCAUAUGUGCUAAUACCAUGUAUGCUUGACGGUACCACCGAAGGAAGCACCGGCUAACUCCGUGCCAGCAGCCGCGGUAAUACGGAGGGUGCAAGCGUUGUUCGGAAUUACUGGGCGUAAAGCGCGCGCAGGCGGUUUGUUAAGUCAGAUGUGAAAGCCCAUGGCUCAACCAUGGACGUGCAUUUGAAACUGGCAAGCUUGAGUAGUGGAGGGGGUGGUGGAAUUCCCGGUGUAGAGGUGAAAUUCGUAGAUAUCGGGAGGAAUACCGGUGGCGAAGGCGACCACCUGGCCACAUACUGACGCUGAGGCGCGAAAGCGUGGGGAGCAAACAGGAUUAGAUACCCUGGUAGUCCACGCCGUAAACGAUGUCAA
rnacentral:rRNA from 1 species